GUGAUGAGGACAUCAACACCAACUAUGCAUUCACGCUGAGACCACUUGGUCCUCUUACUCGUACCCAUGCCCGUCAACUUAACCAUCAUGAAUGAUGGAGAGGACCAACAAGGGAAGGUUCGACUACAUUCAGAAUGUGAUGCAACACCAACUCUACAAAGGGUUGAUUGCAUAUGAGAAGCAUGGUACCUUAACAAAGGUGAUUGGGGAUCAAGUCCAGGUUCUUACAAUGUCCUCCAUCAGGCUACCACGUCGCUCUUAGAGAAAGGAAAGCAAGAGUCCAAACCCAACACGUACGGAUUUGGACUAUAGGACAACCCCAACUUGUAUGGAUCACCAUGGCUUCAUACGAACACCAAUUGGGACGUUGUCAUACUUGAUGGAAAGCUUAUGAAGUCUACUUUCCAAUGGGUCCAACAACAUAUCCUUACAUCUUAUAUGUCAGGCACAGUCCUUGUUUUACUGUCAAAACCCUUUUUUUCUUACAGUGCUAUGUCACCCUAUUUUGGGCCAAUGGCCCAUGUAUCAAGUUGAGUCCAUUAGAGACGCACCCUAGGGUUAGAGGACGACUCCAGCACCCCUUUGGUUGUCCUCCCCUCUACUUAUUUGCCUCUAGAGUCACCAUGAACAGUUUGGAUUUUGUUUAGAUCAAGUUUAGCUUUUGCUACUUGCUUGUAAGUGCACGUGCUGGAUGAGCUGCCCAUCUUCUUGUCUUCAGAACCCCACUUCAUUGGAGAUUGAGUUUAAAAUCUCUAUUUAUAUCUAAUAAUUUAGUACUUGUUCUA